GACGGAGGAUGCAAGCGUUAUCCGGAAUUAUUGGGCGUAAAGCGUCCGUAGGCGGUUUCAAAAGUCUGUUGUUAAAGCCCACAGCUCAACUGUGGAUCGGCAAUGGAAACUGUGAGACUAGAGAGUGGUAGGGGUAGAGGGAAUUCCUAGUGUAGCGGUGAAAUGCGUAGAUAUUAGGAAGAACACCAGUGGCGAAGGCGCUCUACUGGGCCAUUACUGACGCUCAUGCACGAAAGCGUGGGGAGCAAACAGG
rnacentral:rRNA from 1 species